rnacentral:sRNA from 1 species
UUAAGCAUGUGUGUACGUACACACAAGCAUGUACACAUGCACACAUCACAGCAUCUCCAAAUGCGUGUUAUUAUUCCAUGUCCUCAGUCAUAUACACGGAAUCAAGUCACAGAUUCAGAUUAUUGUUACUGAAUUGCCCUGCUUCAGGUUUCAUGUCUGCUGUUUAGCCUCCCCAACCAUUGUCCCUUCCUCGUUUCCUCCACAAUCAGGAUAGCAAAUUUUACUUUGCAGAGAAGCUGUGAGAGGCGACUAAAAUGCGUGUGUUAUUAAAGUGUCAGAGUCCCAUCUGAUGACAAAGCGUGCUGUCAAAGGAGCAUUUCUGAAUGUUCGCACAUGGCUGUAUGUUCCCUGUGGAAGUGACGCUUGGGACUUCUUGCCUGAGCCUUCGUGACACUCCUGCCUGUUCAAGGUGUGGACCCCGUGUGGUAGAGAGGGAGUUGCUGUGAGUGCCUUAGGAGCGCAGCCAGCCAUGGUGCCUCAUGCCUCUAAUCCAAGCAUUUGAAAGACUGAGACUGGGACGACUGUCACGUGUUCCAGGACAGCCUGGAGUAACGGUGAGUUCCGGGUCAGCCUGGGAUGCGGAGGGAGACCCUGUCUCUAAAAACAAACCAGAAGGAUACAUUCAGUGUCUUCCAUUUUGAAAAGUCCUUAUAGAAGAUAAAGUGAAUGGACAGAUGCAGUCUCAGACAUCUUACGGGGCUAUAGCUUGAACUCUGUUGCUGCUGGACUUUGGUGGGAAGGACGUGGCACUCCCCACCGCUUCAUACCUUUCGUUUGCAGUGGAAGCAUUUCUGUCAGGGCAUGCAUUUUUUUGAUGUGCUCCAAGUAGAAAUGAGGUUAAUUCUUUUUGUUUCUUUGUGCCAAAGAUGGAACCCAGGGUCCUUCCCUGCUACAAGAGUGCUCUCCUGCACCACUUUCCUAUCCCUGGAAGUCAAAGCUCUUAAUACACAUGUAAGUGGACACCACUGUAUAGAGUGGUGAGUUUAGCCAAUUUUAAGCAUGGUCUCUUGAACAAAUUUUAAAAUUCACAUUAAAAAUAACCAAAGAAGAAAAAAAAUCAAACUGGUGGCUGGAGACAGGGCUCAGAUCAUGUAGAGGAGUCGUUCAGUUCCCAGCACUUACCGUGAGUACCUCACAACCGCUUGUGACUCCAUGUCAGUCCCCUGACUUUACACCUCCAGCCUCUGCAGAAAAGCACUCGCAUACACAUACUAUCCGCUCCUCACAUGACCCCCCCAGACACAAUUAAAAAAAUAUACCGUUAAAAGAGAGAAUGAUCAAAUAAAAUAAGCCUUGAGAAAUAGGAAAAGGGUCUCAAAUGAUUCAUGUUUUUCCCCCAAUUCAAAUUGUCCUAAUAAUUUUGAACCUCUGACUCCUAUUUCUGGUGUCUUUCUCUUGAAUAAUUUUGAAUAAAAUACAACAUACAAAGAAGUCUGGCUUUCCAUUGAACUCCAGAAAAAUUCUAAUCA